UUCUGUGAUGAAACUGCUAUAUAGGAAGUGCCGUCUGAUGCGAGAACUGACGAGGGCAAAGCAAACUCAUUCUGAGA
rnacentral:snoRNA from 1 species